UCUUGGGUAUGUCACUAUCAGCAGCAUGAAAAUGGACUAAUACAGAUGGAUUGUAAAUUUCCUGAGGCCUCCCAAGCCAUGCCUCCUGUACAGCCUGUGGAACUGUGAGUCAAUUAAAACUAUUUUCUUUAUAAAUUACCCAGUCUCAGGUAUGACCUUACAGCAGUGUGAGAAUGGACUAAAAAAGAAAAUUGGUACCGGAGAAGUGAGGCAUUGCUAUAAAGAUACCUGAAAAUGUGGAAGCAGUUUUGGAACUGGGUAAUGGGCAUAGGUUGAAAUAGCUUAGAGGGCUCAGAAGAAGACAGGAAGAUGAAGGAAAGUUUGGUAUUUCCUAGAGAUUUGUUAAAUGGUUUUGACCAAAAUUCUGAUGUGGUAUAGACAAUAAAGUGCAGGGUGAGAUGGUCUCAGAUAGAGAUGAGGAACUUGUUGGGAACUGGAGCAAAGGACACCCUUGCUAUGUUUUAGCAAAGAGACUGGCAGCAUUGUGCCCUGCUCUAGGGAUCUGUGGAACUUUGAACAUGAGAGAUGAUUUAGGGUAUCUGGUGGAAGAAAUUUUUAAGCAGCAAAGCAUUCAAGAUGUGGCCUGGCUGCUUCUAAAAGCCUAUAUUCAUUUGCAUAAGCAAAAAGAGCUUAUAUUUAAAAGGGAAACAGAGCAUAAAAGUUCGGAAAAUUUGCAGCCUGACCAUGUGGUAGAAAAGAAAACCCCAUUGUAUAGGUUGAAAUUCAAGCUGGCUGCAAAAAUUUGCAUAAGUUCAAGAGAAGCCAAAUGUUAAUAGCCAAGACAAUGGGGAAAAUGUCACCAGGCAUUUCAGAGACCUUUGUGGCAGCCCCUGCCAUCAUAAGCCCAGAGGCCUGGGAGGAAAAAAUGAUUUCAUUGAUGCAGGGCCCUGCUGCUUUGUGCAGCCUUGGGACAUGGUGCCUGGCAUCCUAGCUGCUUCAGCUCCAGCUGUGGCUAAAAGAGGCCAAGGUACAGCUUAAGCUUUGCUUCAAAGGAUGCAAGGCCCAAGCCUUGGUGGCUUCCAUGUGAUGUUGGGCCUGUGGGUGCACAGAAGGCAAGAGUUGAGGUUUGGGCACCUCUGCCUAGAUUCUAGAGGAUAUAUGGAAAUGCCUGGAUGUCCAGGCAGAAGUCUGUGGCAGGGGUGGAGCUCUCAUAUAGACCCUUUACUAGAGCAAUGCAGAGGGGAGAUAUGAGGUUAGACCCCCACACAGAGUCCCCACUGGAGCACUGCGUAGUGAAGCUGUGAGAAGAGACCCAUUGUCCUCCAGACCCCAGAAUAGUAAGAUCCACCAACAGCUUGCACCAUGCACCUGGAAAAGCCACAGUCAGUAAACAUCAGCCUUUGAGAGCAGCCAUGGGAGCUAAGCCCUAGAGAGCCAGAGGGGUGGAGCUUCCCAAGGCCUUGGGAGCCAACCCCUUGCAUCAGAGUGCCCUGGAUGUGAGACCUGGAGUCAAAGGAGAUUAUUUCAGGGCUUUAAGAUUUAAUGACUGCCCUGCUGGGUUUUGGACUUGCAUGGGGGCUGUAGCCCCUUUGUUUUGGCCAUUUUCUCCCUUUUGGAAGAGGAACAUUUGCCCAGCACCUGUACCUCCAUUGUACCUUGGAAGUAACUGACUUGUUUUUGAUUUUACAGGCUCCUAGGCAGAAGGAACUUGCCUUGUCUCAGAUAAAACUUUGGACUUGGACUUUUCAGUUAAUGCUGGAAUGAGUUAAGACUUUGGGGGACUGUUGGGAAGAGAUUAUUGUGUUUUGAAAUGUGAGAAGGACAUGAGAUUUGGGAGGGGCCAGGGGCAGAAUGAUAUGGUUGGCACUGUGUUCCCCACCCAAAUUUCAUGUUGAAUUGUGAUCCUGAGUGUUGGAGGUGGGGUCUGGUGGGAGGUGAUUGGAACAUGGGGGCAGAUUUCCCCCUUACUGUUCUGUGAUAGUGAGUGAGUUCUCACAAGAUCUCUUUAUUUAAAAGUAUGUAGCACUUCCCCCUUUGCUCUGUCUCUCCUGCCACUAUAUGAAGAGGUGCUUGCUCCCCCUUUGCCCUUCUGCCAUGAUUUAGGUUUCCUGAGGCCUCCCCAGCCAUGCCUCAUACAGCCUGUGGAACUGUGAGUCAAUUAAGUCUCUUUUCUUUAUUAAUUACCCAGUCUUAGGUAUGUCUUUGUAGCAGGGUGAGAAUGGACUAAUACACCCACCAAAAGUUCUAUGUCCCAGAUAAAAUUUUCCUAACAUUGUUAAUAAUCACACAGCAUUCUUUAUCCAAAAUGAAAAUAGCUUUUCUCUUAUCAAAAUUCUAUAUUUUAUUUAUUUUUUUAUUUAUCUUUUGAGACAGAGUCUCAC
rnacentral:lncRNA from 1 species